CCGCUUGCUCACGCUACAGUGGGGAGCCGCGCCGGCCCGGGACACCCCCCCGCCCCGCGCUACCUUCCCCCCAUAUAAAGCGAUACAAUGUUGCCUUUUAUGGCGAGGACGCUCCUUAUAUGGUGAGAGCCGGCGCUUUGCAUCUAUUGGCCAUCCCCUAGCAGGACCCGCACGCCGUUGGCUGGAGAGGGCCCAGGUCGGCGGCCCAUUGGCCAGAGGGAUAAGGGCUGAUUUGCAUACAUUCCAAAAGAGCUGCGUUCGCGACGACGUCAGCCGGAGGCGCAGCUCUUAAAGGGAAAGAGCCCUCUGAAGGAGUAGCUUUUGAAUGUUGCGACCGGAGCGGGAGGGAGGAGACGCAGAGCGGCGAGUGAAGCUUUAGCAGAAGAACAGAUGGGUAGACAGGAGAAAUUAUCGCAGCAGGGCCCACCAGCUGGGGAGUGGGGCAGCUUGAUUCCCCCCCCGCAUGUUUACUUGGAAGUAAACCGCACCAAGUUCAGUGGAACUGGCUUAAGGAUGCAUAGGGUUUGCGGACCUGCAUGUACACAGAAGACUAAUAAGUCGCAGGAAAAGGGUGCAUCCCAUACGUUCAAAAUUUGACUCAGGGAGUCAAGAAGCAGCAUCUUCUCGAAGAGAGUCGGAGCUCUGCAACAAAUCAGGGGCUAUACUGGUGUCACAACCGGUCACUGAGGACUGAGACCUCCCCUCAUCCAAACCACUUUUGAUUAUCGAAAAGUGUGCUUCUUGUUUAGGAAAAGAAUAAUAAAGAUGCAAACGAAAAAAGAAAAAGGAAAGGAAAUCUGAACACACUUUCUUUCGGAGAUGUACUUGUAAUUGUGAGAACCAUGAGUUUAGGAGGGGAAAGUAUGUUCCAAUCCGUUGAGGGGUAGGGCUUUUUGGGAUGGAAUCAAUACUGUGUUAAAUGGCAAACAUGGCCUUAUUUAGCUUGCUUUGAGGGGGGAAUCUCCUCCUCCUUGGCUCUGUAACAUCAGACUACCAGACUUUGAUUUAUUGAAAACCUUGGUUACAGGCCCAUAACUCAUAUGCAUGCCUGCAUGCUUGACUUUCAGCAUUUGCAACUGUAUUUUUGGUUUGUUUUUGUUUUUAGGAUUGUAAGCUGAGAUUCAGCAUGUCCUUUUCUAAAGUUAUGACAGUAGUAAAAGACUGGCCUUAACAAGA